UACGUAGGCAGCAAGCGUUGUUCGGAGUUACUGGGCGUAAAGGGUGCGUAGGCGGUUUUUUAAGUUUGGUGUGAAAUCUCCCGGCUCAACCGGGAGGGUGCGCCGAAUACUGAACGGCUAGAGUGCGGGAGAGGAGAGUGGAAUUCCUGGUGUAGCGGUGAAAUGCGUAGAUAUCAGGAGGAACACCGGUGGUGUAGACGGCUCUCUGGACCGUAACUGACGCUGAGGCACGAAAGCGUGGGUAGCAAACAGG
rnacentral:rRNA from 1 species